UUCUGUGCCUCUGUUCCCGUUCCCCCUGCUGAACACUUCACUGCUCAUCCUUUGCUUCCCAUUUCCGGCCGCCGGAAUGCCGGAUUCCACUCUCUCCCCCCUCCGCUGUCCGUGCCCGUGUUCUUGCCGCGGCCGUGCUCGCGGGCUCAUCCGUACGGCUCCCACCCUACGUGAUCGCUGCGCCCCCGGAGGACCGGACUCCGGGAGCAUCUGCGUCUGCAUCCCAUCGCCUUCCGUCUCGAGCUACUCCGGCUUGUUGGUGGUUUAAGGUGUAUCCCCCUUCCAUUCCUCCUCGGCGUCUACGGCAGCUCGCAAGAUCUGCCCGCGCUGGACGUUGCGGCCGUUACAGAGAUGAAGGUAUAGUGAUCCCUGGGUGCAGGAAUUCUAUAAUAAACAGAGCGCAGCCUAAUUUAUGAUAACGAACAAACAUCAGAAGAUAUAUUUUAGGGAUACCUCGUGCAGAAUUGUCUUGGCUGAUGUGAGAUGCUCCCUUUGAUCAGCACGACAAUCAAUACAGAAUUGCCUCAACAGUUGUGCUAUGGCAGUUCGAUAUGAUUUGUUGCUCCUAUCAGCAAGCAUAUCGGAGAGCUUCUGAACAACUGAAUGAGCUGUCCCUGUGUUGCCAUUCAUGAUCGUCGCACAAUACGACGUACAAGCUAUUGCCAACAAUGCCAGUGCUUUCCCUGCAGUUUUCCUGAGAUAACUCUCAUUGUGAUCAUUGAAGAAUAAUCCUAUCAAGAAAUUGAUGAAAUUAACCAUGGCUUCAUCUCCAACAGUGUCUCUGGUGGUAUUAGCCAAAGCUAGCUUUGCGCAGUGAUCUUGGAGAAGAGACUCUUGGUUUCAUAUAUCUUUGAGCAGUUGUCCGGAUUUCCAGCAAGCUUGGCAAGGAUCAUCAGGCCAUGAAUUAUCAGAGGUUUGCUCUUUUCUCCAUCGGAUGUGUUGGGAGACUGGUUUCUUUCCUGUUGGUCAACGUCAAUUGUUAUCUGCUGACCAUUGCUAACAGUGUUAGCUGUUGUUGAUAUCUUCACCAAAUAGGGGUCCAACAAGGAUGAUAUGGACUCGGUUGCUCUGUCUAUGUCACUUAACCUCAAAUCGCUAGCAAGCAGUGUGACAAUCUGUGCUAGGUGUACUUUGCUCUCUUCACCAAUGGUACUUUUUGAGCUGAGCAGAGCAAGCAUCGUGGCAAUACAAUCAGGUGAGGAUUGAAUGUGGGCAAGCGCUCUUGCUUUAUGAGCUUGAGGGGCAUCUUUGUAUGUCAACGUGUGGAGCACUAGGACUCCAGAAAUGCGGUCUUGACUAUACUUGGAUUGCAGCAAAUCUACUGCAAAGGUAACCAGUUUCCUGUUGAUGGUGUUCAACACCCCUGUUUUGAUGCAGGCACUUGAGGUUCUGUUGAUAUAUUUAUCAAUCAGUUUCUUGUCCA